CCCUUCCCCAACGCCACAACCCAUCCCAGCGCUGCCAAACGGCCAUCUUGGGGACUACUCAGUUUGAUUCGGUCGACGCCAUUACGACUACGUCCAAUUUUACGAGCAAGACAAGAAGGACAAGACUUUGCAUAAACUACAGUUGCUGGAAAUUCCACCAUGGCUGAUAUCAAGACCUCUUCGAACCCUCCUAAGACAAAGAUCUUUGUUGGUCGUCUCCCUGAAAAUGCCCAGUCCCAAGACUUACGCCGCUUGUUUGAGCGUUAUGGAACUGUAACAGAAUGUGACAUCUUAAACCGCUAUGGUUUUGUCCACAUGAAAACUGAAGAACAGGCUUCUCAAGCUAUUGAAGGCCUUCACAAUUGCAACUUUAUGGGAUCACUGAUCAGCGUUGAGGCUUCUACUGGUAAAAGGAGUAACCGGGAGGGAGGCCCUGGUCCCCGUCGAGGUGGCUUUGGAGGCCCACGAGGUGGCCGUGGUGGUGGAUUUGGACCUAUGCGAGGAGGAAUGGGUUACGGAGGAAUGCGAUCUGGACCCUACGACCGCGCUGGUCCUUACGGUCGCCCUGACUCCUUUGGACGUCCUGAACCUUAUGGACGUCCUGACUUUGACCGUCGCCCUGUAGCACCUGGCCCUGUGGGUCCCGGUCCUGUACCUGCAGGACCUGGUCCUGUACCCCCUGCUGGACCCGGUAUGGGUGGCAUGAGAAAUGGUUAUGGUUAUGACGAUCGCAGAGAUGGCGCGUACAUGGACAGAGCUGCUGAGUACAUGGAGAGGAGAGACCGUGGUGAUGCUGCUUAUGGCAUGGACAGGAUGGGUAUGGCUGGAUAUGAUCGUGGAUAUGGAGACUAUGGAGCACGAGCUGCUGCCAUGCCAGCGAGUGACAUGUAUGGUGCUGGUGCAUACCGAGAGGGAGAUCGAAGUGCAUAUGCAGACAUGAGGCAACCAUAUGAGCGACGUGACAUGGCCCAAGUUCCUGCUGCUCGUGACGGCUAUGAUAGAACUGCAAUGGCACCUGCAGGCUAUGACCGCCGAGACUACACCGCUGCUCGAAUGGGAGGUGGUGGUGGUGCUGAUAUGUUCAGCCGCAGAACACCUCCACCACCCCAACCUGCCUACAGCACUGGUUAACAUUCAAGACUUGGUCCUGUGUGGAAUAACUCCAUAUGACCACAUGGACAUCCUUGGCUCUAGAUUCCCAAUGCUACCCUGAUAUGCAGCCGCGACGAUACUAAGCGUCGUGAUCGAUGUUCGCGUGCGACGCUGGCAGGAUUUACAUUCUGCUCGGCGUAGGUGCGAGAACCGGCACUCAUCGUGGACAGCGAAUCUUGUGCCAGGAUUUCUAUAUAUCACUGUUUUCAUCUUAAGAUUUUCUUAGAUUUGCUUUAUUUAUGAGAAGUGCAUUUAGUUACGAACAGGCAAUUCAUCAUCAUUGCUAUUUCUUAGUUAUUAGUAAAUGGGGUAGAAUUGCCAUAAUUUAAUUAAAUUUGAUUUAUAAAAGCGAGAUAGAUGACAAAUGUUUUCGAGAUUUGUCUUCUGUUUUAUUAUAAUGAUUAAGUCAAUCGAGCAGACCAUGUAAUAUUUUUUUAUCUCGACAACUGCAAUUUGCCGGCAAGAAGCUCAUGAACGAAAUUAGUGUAGGUGUAGGAUUCAAGUUCUAAUCUAGAUCACUGCGCUGCUUCACGGAAGUAUUCAUAAUCUUAAAUGCAAACCGUCGAUCUAUUUUGUACAUCAGCCUCCUUAGUUUGGAAGGCUGUCUUCCACGCAAUGUAUGUAAAGCUUGUUUUUCAUGUAACUCGAUAGAGCCGUAAAAUAAAUAAUUUCCUUUGUAA